UGUGACACCCAGCCCCUGUGUGACCCAGUGUCCUAGAUUGCAAGGCAAUGAAACAAUACAUCUGAAAAAUGGUUCCACCACCGAAUGCUUGAUCCUUGCCACACACACAUUUCCAGGAUACGAGCAAUACAGGGGCUGGGAGCUGGAGUGGGUGUCAGACCAUGAUGUCAGCCAUAAAACCUGCGACAGAGGAGAAUUCAUUUUUCCCUCUUGGAGAGCCACGAGCAGGUGCCACAGCAGCUGAGAAUAUGUGAGCCAGCAUUAAAGCAUUCCCAGAUCAACCCAGAGAGGAUA